AUGGAGGCAGCCACAACAACCAACUGAAGACACUCGCGAAACAGGACUUGCAGAACUGCAUCAGAAAGUGGCAAGAAUGAUGAGAUAAUUUCAGUUACUGUGUUCAACUGCAGUCUGAAAAUACGAAGUGGAAAAAUCCAGAAAUAAAAAUUCAUAAGUUUUAAACUGCACGUUGCUGUGAAUAGCAUGGUGAACUCUCACGUUGUCCCUCACAUCAUCCUGUACCAUCUCGCCCCAGACGGUGGCAUUUGCCUUGAAGAUUUUUUAUGUAGUUGAAUUUUAUUGUAUGGCUUCUGACUUUUCCACUAAAAGAUUAUAAAAGAAGAUUC